GUGCUUGGAGUGGUAAAUUCCAGCAGAAGGGCAGGGAGGAGUCAGAUGGCAGCUCUUUGGGCUGCUGUAAUUAAAUCCACCCGAGAGCAGGGCUCUGGAGCAGUAAGGCCACACCUGCGCACCGCUCGGUGCCGACACGCACCCAGCGAAGCGGGUAACCCAGCCCGCUCAGCGCGGGGACCUGCGGUGCCGUGGGAGCGUGAGCCUGGUUUCCUGCCUGACUUGGGCACCUUGUGUUAGGAGGGCUGCUGCCGUGGUGUGUUGUGGCUGGCAAGGAACUGGCCAGCCUGCAGUGAAGGCACUGUGCCUCGCAGCCCUGCAGCCUGUGUGCCGGUGAAACCUGCGUCGCUCCAGCCACCCGUGACACCACCCCAAACAAGCCCCGCAGUCCCACUCCGUGUCUUUCAGUGUUGGUUCUCCAGAAGCAUCAGCUGCACUGCUCCGAGAACUGCGCUUCCACUGUACACGCACGCUAAAUUGUUUGGAAGGACUGCAUAUGCCUCAGGAUCAAAAUGCAACAGGAAACGUCAGCAGCAUGUCUAAAUAAACAUCUCUGUCUCUUUUACAAGAGUGUUUAGCAGCUCUGUUGGCAGAUGUUUCUAUAAAAUGUUAAAGACUGUGCUUUCCAAACCUCCAAAAUGUUUGUAAUC